rnacentral:misc_RNA from 1 species
GAUGAAGAACGUAGCGAAAUGCGAUAAGUAAUGUGAAUUGCAGAAUCCAGUGAAUCAUCGAAUCUUUGAACGCACAUUGCGCCCGCCAGCAUUCUGGCGGGCAUGCCUGUCCGAGCGUCAUUUCAACCCUCAAGCACUGCUUGGCGUUGGGGCGCUACGCGCUGAGCGUAGGCCCCUAAAAUCAGUGGCGGACCCGCUGUGGCUCCGGGCGUAGUAGCAACACCUCGCCCUGGGAGCCGCUGGCUGGGUCAGCCGUAAAACCCCCGACAUAGGCCUUCCUGCCCGCCCCCGGCGGGGAGGGAGACCGCCUAAUGUUGACCUCGGAUCAGGUAGGACUACCCGCUGAACUUAAGCAUAUCAUAAGCGGAGGA